GGCAAAUUAAGCUGCAAGUACUAUGUACUAUGGAUAUUGAGUGGCGUUGUACCCAAAGGGGGCCUACAUGUCAACAACACAAUACAAAACACACUGGCAUUGUACGUUUUGUAUUUAUUAUUUAUUUAUUUUACUGAUAAUGUUUUGACACUUUUUAGUAUUUAGAUGUCUUUCCCUGAAUUCGUUCACUAACUGCAGGUGUUGAAUUUAAGAACUUGAUGGGAUGGUUUUGCAGGUUUGAUUUAAUUGAUCGUACUGUAGGUAAUAUUGAACAUUAAAUUAAUCCAGAGAUCGUUUGUUUUCUGUGUUGUGAAGCUUCGCUUUAAUGUUUUAUGGCAGUGGUCUCCAACCCUGCUCCUGGAGAUACCGUCCUGCAGAUUUCAGCUCCAACCCCAAUCAAACACACCAGAACCAGCUAAUCAAGGUGUUCAGGGCUACUUGAUAAUUACAGACAGGUGUGUUGGAGCAGGGUUGGAACUGAAGUCUGCAGGACGGUAGCUCUCCAGAAGCAGUUUUGGAGAUCCCUGUUUUACGGACUGGGAAAUCGCUCCAAAUGAUUCAGCGCAUGAGUUAGCUGUGCGAACAAUUGAAUAUGAAUCGAACUGUAUCAGACCGUUUUGCUAAUCCGUUUGGACAAUUCAUAGAAAUGAACUGACUCAAAAAAGUCAUUCACUCACGAAUUGAGCAUCGCUUGUUCUGAUUCUACACAGACUGCGGAAACAUGGGACAUACGACAUAACUGUUAUUGUGAUGCAAAAUAUUGUGAGGGAAAAAAUGAUUCUCAGGUCAGUAAAUGGUGGGAUACUUUCUUCCUUCAACUCGAGCCUCUACACUUCACCACUGUUGGAUUAAGGGACCAUGAGAUACAGGCACAUCUGCCCUCAAAGACACUCCAGUCCCUUGAUGCAGCAGUCAGCAUGUGUGUGUCCCCAGUACUCCAUCAAACAGCUCGUUUCUGCCCCGAGAGCACUGAUGGCUGCUUCCACGGUGCACAGACUAUUAAUGUGCGCCAAAUACAUGACUGAGUGUACUUGAUUGAGUGCAUCUGCUGCAAAAAAGGCCUCGUCUCAGUUUUGCGGUUUC
ensembl:lncRNA